rnacentral:rRNA from 1 species
AUUGAACGCUGGCGGCAGGCCUAACACAUGCAAGUCGAGCGAGCGGCGGACGGGUGAGUAAUGUAUGGGGACUGCCCGAUAGAGGGGGAUAACUACUGGAAACGGUAGCUAAUACCGCAUACUAUCGGAUAACCCAUAUGGGAUUAGCUAGUAGGUGAGGUAAUGGCUCACCUAGGCGACGAUCCCUAGCUGGUGUGAUAGGAUGAACAGCCACAAUGGGACUGAGACACGGACCAGACUCCUACGGGGGCAGCAGUGGGGAAUAUUGCACAAUGGGCGCAAGCCGGAUGCAUCCAUGCCGCGGGUAUGAAGAAGGACCUAGGGUUGUAAAGGACUUUCAGUAGGGAGGCGUUACCGACAGAAGAAGCACCGGCUAACUCCGUGCCAGCAGCCGCGGUAAUAC